GCCUAACACAUGCAAGUCGAGCGGUAGCACAGAGAGCUUGCUCUCGGGUGACGAGCGGCGGACGGGUGAGUAAUGUCUGGGAAACUGCCUGAUGGAGGGGGAUAACUACUGGAAACGGUAGCUAAUACCGCAUAAUGUCGCAAGACCAAAGUGGGGGACCUUCGGGCCUCAUGCCAUCAGAUGUGCCCAGAUGGGAUUAGCUAGUAGGUGGGGUAACGGCUCACCUAGGCGACGAUCCCUAGCUGGUCUGAGAGGAUGACCAGCCACACUGGAACUGAGACACGGUCCAGACUCCUACGGGAGGCAGCAGUGGGGAAUAUUGCACAAUGGGCGCAAGCCUGAUGCAGCCAUGCCGCGUGUGUGAAGAAGGCCUUCGGGUUGUAAAGCACUUUCAGCGGGGAGGAAGGCGAUAAGGUUAAUAACCUUAUCGAUUGACGUUACCCGCAGAAGAAGCACCGGCUAACUCCGUGCCAGCAGCCGCGGUAAUACGGAGGGUGCAAGCGUUAAUCGGAAUUACUGGGCGUAAAGCGCACGCAGGCGGUCUGUCAAGUCGGAUGUGAAAUCCCCGGGCUCAACCUGGGAACUGCAUUCGAAACUGGCAGGCUAGAGUCUUGUAGAGGGGGGUAGAAUUCCAGGUGUAGCGGUGAAAUGCGUAGAGAUCUGGAGGAAUACCGGUGGCGAAGGCGGCCCCCUGGACAAAGACUGACGCUCAGGUGCGAAAGCGUGGGGAGCAAACAGGAUUAGAUACCCUGGUAGUCCACGCCGUAAACGAUGUCGAUUUGGAGGUUGUGCCCUUGAGGCGUGGCUUCCGGAGCUAACGCGUUAAAUCGACCGCCUGGGGAGUACGGCCGCAAGGUUAAAACUCAAAUGAAUUGACGGGGGCCCGCACAAGCGGUGGAGCAUGUGGUUUAAUUCGAUGCAACGCGAAGAACCUUACCUGGUCUUGACAUCCACAGAACUUUCCAGAGAUGGAUUGGUGCCUUCGGGAACUGUGAGACAGGUGCUGCAUGGCUGUCGUCAGCUCGUGUUGUGAAAUGUUGGGUUAAGUCCCGCAACGAGCGCAACCCUUAUCCUUUGUUGCCAGCGGUCCGGCCGGGAACUCAAAGGAGACUGCCAGUGAUAAACUGGAGGAAGGUGGGGAUGACGUCAAGUCAUCAUGGCCCUUACGACCAGGGCUACACACGUGCUACAAUGGCAUAUACAAAGAGAAGCGACCUCGCGAGAGCAAGCGGACCUCAUAAAGUAUGUCGUAGUCCGGAUUGGAGUCUGCAACUCGACUCCAUGAAGUCGGAAUCGCUAGUAAUCGUAGAUCAGAAUGCUACGGUGAAUACGUUCCCGGGCCUUGUACACACCGCCCGUCACACCAUGGGAGUGGGUUGCAAAAGAAGUAGGUAGCUUAACCUUCGGGAGGGCGCUACCACUUU
rnacentral:rRNA from 1 species